GACUGCGCGGAUGCUGGUCGCAAAUGCACUAUGUUGGUUUUCUAAUGGUCCGGCUCAAUUAAGUUUUGAUGGAUAUGUUUACACAAUUUUAAAGACCUUCCCGGAAACGUAUAGGUUGCUAUUCUGUUUUAAUAAAAACUGCAUACUCUGCUUUAGUGAAUAAAAUUUGAUAAAGUGUUAUAUGCCAAUUGACACGGGCUUUGAUUGAGUUUAAUAUUAUAAUGAAAAACUUUUUAUAUAAUACCGUUAAUUUAAUAACGUCUUUUUGCUGCAUCUGUUGUUUAUUUACCAGUAAUCGGAUAUGCGCCUACUUUCGAGACAAAAUUAUGGUAAUGGCAUGGCAUGCGCUUAUUAUCCCAUAUUGAAUAACAGUAAGGCCGUAUGCGUUUACUUUUGAUAUGCGCUUAUAUUCCAAUAUGCGCUUAUUUACCAGAUUCUACAGUAUGAAUAUAUUUAUGAAUAAUUAAAAGGAAAAAACAAAUGAUCAUGCUGAAAAUAGCAUGAACGUAUUCAUCAGUGUCAAAAUUUGAGCCACAGGUCCUGACGUACGUAUUAGUAUUCUUGGGGUAAGAAAAAACAAUUAGUCAUCUGGAAUUAAUGAGUAUUUUGCAUGUAGUUCAUUAUGCAUUAACCGUGUAUAAAUUGAUCGAAAUCGUUGCAAUAAUACCAUUUUUCUGAAAGAUUCAUACACAAGUACAUCAUGAAGAAAAUAGAUCUCAUUUUCAUUGCCGCCGUGGUACUUUGCUCACUCACAUUGAGUUACGGCCAAAUAGAGGUCACAUUGAGCUACGACUAAAUCGCACCCCAUUACCCAGGCAGGUACCGCAGACAUUAUCAUAGAAGAUAUUUGCCUCGACAUUAUUACCGGCGUUAUCCCUAUCAUCGACAUUAUUCCAGAAGAUAUAUUCCAUAUUUUUCCUAUCAUAGACGACCACAUUAUUACGGGAGACCUUUUUCAUAUUACUAGAUUCUACUACUAAAAUACAACAAAGAAAAACAUGAAGAUACUGUGAGGAUAUGUACUGUAAUAUAAUGGAGUGAAAAUUGAAUAUUAUUCAGUGCUAUAUUCGUUUGUUACGUACAAACUAAAGAUGUUAAUAAAUUACUUGGAUUUCCAAAUUGAAUGCACUUAUAGUAAUAAUAAUACGUUAAGUCACCACAUUAUUACAGCAAUAGUAUUGUUUAAAGUCAGUUAAAUGUUGUAUACAAAUCGAAUUGUAUAUGUUGAUCAAAGAAUAAAAGAUUUGCUAUUUCAUUACAUAACACGCCAUCAUAAGUAAAUGUUUUAAAUGUUU
rnacentral:lncRNA from 1 species